CACCACACUACCGUUUCCAGGAUUCCUCCGCCGAAACGGGAGUGCCAAACAGGCGGGAUUUUUCAAUUAAGGGGCCCCAAACGUAGGCCAUCGCCCACACCCUGAGAUUGAGAGUCUCUGGCUCCAUCGACUGAGAUGCCCGGGCUACUGCUUCAGAUCUUUUGCGUGAAACACCCCAAUACGUGAGCCUUGCAACGUCUCCAGCUCGUACAGACUGUUGCCCAUACUUCGGAUCACUCGGCACUUGACAUAUUUUGGGCUGAGCUUUGCGUUGAUGUUGGUUUUAAAUUUGCUCAACACGAAAUUCCGCUUAUAUACCUCCUGACCCGGCUUCAUGAGAGUUUCCUCGGACCUCAUCUCGGACUAUUUCCAUCUUGUCACUCCUCGCCAAGGGUGACAUUUGUGCAUCAUUUAGGGCGCCCAGUCUGCGUGCCAAUUUAUAAUCUCGGCCGCUAGUAAACAUGUGCUGCCCAAACAACACAAAGUAUGGCGACGUCCCGAUGCCCGUGUGUAUAGCGCUCCUAGCCACACACUGGAUCUCCGUCAGCUUCUCGUCCCAGCGCGUGUGAUCCUCACUAGCGUAUGUCCUUAUCGCCGCCAGUAUUGUCUGGUUCACUCGUUCGGCCGCGUUCGCCUGUGGUGCAUAGUUCCCCGACUUCAUGUGCGUUAUGCUUCUCCAGUCCAAGAAUUGCGAGAAUUCAGCUGACACAAACUGCUUUCCAUUAUCGGUGUGUACUAUUUCAGGCACGCCAAACUGCGCGAAGACCUAUGCGUGCAAGAAUCGGAUCACGACCGACGACGUCGCCUUAGGCAAAGCCUUCAACCAGACAUAUCUGGACAUGUGAUCGAGGACUAUUAGUAUGACUACAUUGCCACUUCGAGUCCUCGGAUAUGGACCAAGGAAAUCCAGGUACAGUUUUUGAAUCGGCCUCUCGGUUCUGGUUUCGGCCCCCAUGAGUGGACGGUGAACCUGUGUUGAAUGUUUUGUUUCUUUGCAGGUGUCACAAUCAGCCACAUAUGCCUUCACCUGCACGGUCAUCCGGGGCCAAUAAUAGAGCUGUCGCAGCCGUCCCAGUGUCCUCGCGAUUCCUCCAUGCAUUGCCACAUCGCUGUCGUGAGCCUGUUGGAUCAGUGUGUUCGUCAGGGCUUCCGGGAUCCAUAGCUUCCACGAAAACUCCUCUAAUUCCGGCCGGCCAAAUUGUGUGCGCUUAAACAGCAGUCCUUCCUCCACCUUCAGGUCUGGGAACUCAUCCUCAUCGCUCUGGACCGACUCGAUUUUCCUUCGGUAUUCUUCAUCCUCGAAGGCUGUGGUGUCGAACUUCAGGAAGUCGAUAGCGUCAGCGUCAAAGGGACGUGACAGCAUAUCGGCGACGAUAUUUUCCUUUCCUUUGCGGUGCUCAAUUUCAAAGUCAUAAGCCUGGAGAGCCAACGACCACCUGGCUAGCCUCCCAUCCAGUGCUUUGAAUCGCAUGAGCCACUGCAAACUCGCGUGAUCUGUUAUCACCGUGAAUGGCAUCAGUUCCACGUAUGCACGGAAUUUCUCGAUGGCUCUUACCGCCGCCAGAAACUCCUUCUCCGGUACGCUAUAAUUGAGCUGUGCCCCUCUUAGCUUCGCCGAAAAGAGUGCGAUUGGGUGCUCUGCUCCUUCAUCAUCCCUCUGGAAGAGAACUGCUCCAAUCCCCACGUGACUCGCAUCACACUGGAUAAAGAAGUGCUUCUUAAAGUCUGGGUGAUGUAGCACGGGGGCGCUGACAGUCUGUCAGAGGAGCCGAGAGUGCCGAGAAAUUUCGAAUAAACCGCCGAUACCAGCCAGCUGUCCCCAAAAAUCUCCGGAUUUGUCUCACGUUCCUUGGCAUUGGUAUUUGUGUGAUCGCCUGUACUUUCUCCGGAUCUGUCCUAAGUUUGCCUCCUCGAGACACUUGGCCACUUCCUCUAACAGGUGUAUAUGCUCCUUAAACGUCCGGGAAAUAACUAGUAGAUCGUCUAAGUAUACAAAGACAUGGCUUCGGAGUCGUUGUGGAAUUACUCGACCCAUCAACCGACACAGCCGUUGGGCUGCAUUGCACAACCCGAAGGGCAUCGAUUUAAAUUGAUAGAGUGGUCUGCCUGGCACCGUGAAUGCUGUGUACGUCCGACUUUCAGGCUCCAGCUCUAUCUGCCAAAAUGCGUGCUUUAAAUCGAUGCUGCUGAUGUACACCGUAUUCUCUACGCGGCUCAAAA